AGUUGGUUAUGUGUAUAUGAAAUUAUAUGAAAAAGUUAAAAAAAAAAAAAAUUUAAACCCCCACGCAGAAUGUGAAUGGAAAAUUUAUAACGACAAGUAAACAAAGACCAAAUACUUUUCUCUUAAACGCGUGUUGAUUAUUGAGACAUCAAAUCAACCUAAAUUAAAGAAAUUUACUAUUUUACCCCAAAUAUAUCUGCAUGCCCUAUAAAACCCAGUGGUAUUCACUCACUCAAUUCAAGUCAGUUCUGUGCCCCAACUUGGAGAGGUAAACCAGCCCCGUAUUCCAUCCGUCGACCUCAGCCUCCGGCCCUCACAGCUGCCGGCCACCAAUCAAAUCUAUCUAUCAGCCUCACCGUCACUGGCUUUUCUCAAAAGGAAGGCUAGACAAGCCGACACCGGCCACCAUGAGUUCACACAAGUUGUUCGUGAUCACCUUCAUUUUCCGCUUCUAAUCUUCCGGUCAUUGCAGUUGAAAAUUUCAACAUGCGAGUUUACGCAAAAGUUUCAGUCGGGAAAAAAGUGAAGAAAACGAAAACUGACAAGGAGAGGCAGACAAAUCCGGCGUGGGACAGCCCCGUGAGUUUCACCGUAAACGAGUCGGAGAUGACAAAAGGAGGGAUCACGCUUGUCAUCAAGCUAUACUGCAAGCGUCCCCUCUUCAAUAAUGAUACGAUAGGCAGUACCAGUGUGAGAUGACAUGAUAAUGUGUACCUAGCUAGCUAUAUAAAUUUAGUCAAAUGGAUCACAUGCAUAUGUGCAUCAUUAUUAUUGUAUGGAUAAUUAUAUGUUUUGUGAUUAUCCGAAAAAAAUAAUUAUAUGUUUGUGUGUCGAAUUUAUGGUAUGAAUAAUUAUUUGUCUGUGUGUGUUGAA